UCUUCAAAAUUUCUCAAACUCUUAUUCUCUCAAACCCAUUUUCUCUCAUUCUCCAACCCUUUCCCAACUCCUCUAUAUCUCUCAAUUCUCUCCGUUUUAAUACAAAAUCAAGAUCCAAAUACUCAAAAAAAUUUGUUGGAUUCGGAUAUGCUUUCUAUAUUUUCAUCAAAUCCAUUUACAAAGGUACACAUAUUUAUAAAUUAUUUGUUAUUUUAAAAAUUCUUUUAAUUGGUUUGUAUGAUAGAAAUAAUUGGUCUGUAUGUUUUAUGAACAUGUGUAGAAAUAUAUGUUGAAAUGGGUAUAAAAAUAUGCUAUAUGAUUUUUGUAUGUUGAAAUUAAUUACAAAUAUAUGUUGAAAUGGGAAAAAAUAUAUGCUAAAAUUAUAGAAAUAUAUGCUGAAAUUUGUAAAAAAUAGAAUAUACUUUUUAUUUUUAUUAAACUGAAUUUUUAUUUAUUUUAUAAAACAUAAUAUUUUAUUAUUAUAAAAAAAAUAUUAUUAUUUGUUAAAACAGAAUAUAUUUUUUUAUUAUAUGUUAAAUAAUUAAAUAUUAUAUUUUAGGAAACAAAAUAUCAUUACCCUCUAUUAUUAAGCUAAAUAUAAAUAUUGUAUUACUAACAUUUAUUACUAUUUUUAAUAUAUUUAUGAUAGUUAUGAUUUAUUAUAUUUAUAUUAUUUUAAAUAUUAAUAAUUUAAUAUUUAUAAUAAUGUAAAUAUAAUAUUUUUUUAUUAGCUUAUUUACUUUUUGCUAGGUGAUUUCCAUCCCGUAAGUUUUAAUCUUUUUCUGCUCUGCUCUGAACCACCCUGCACUCCUGCACUCUCUGCUCUGUUUUGCGUGUAAUUCUAGUAAAAGACUUGCGGGGUGCUUUUCACCUGGCAAAAUUGCGAAGUGAAAACCACCUGGCAAACUUGUGAAGUGCGUUUCCCCUUGCAAAAAGUUGCGACUAACGUUUUUGCGAUGUGUUUUGUCCACCCCGCAAUUGUUACGUUGCAGGGUGAUAUUUGCAUCUGCGGGGUGCUAUUCACCUGGCAAAUUGAUGUUUUUUUUGUAGUGGAUGGUUAUUUCCUUAUUUGAUGAAAUGAUGUAUAAAAUGUAUGUCAUAUUAGUGUUAUUUUAGUUUUGAUGUAUUAUUAAAUAAUUUUGGUUUCUUACAUUUAUCAUUUUGGUUUUGAUUCACAAAUAGUCUAUUGUUGUUUCUCUAUAUCUGUUUUGAUUCAUAAAAAUACAUAUUAUAGGAGAUGUAUGUAAAAUCAAAAAAAUUAUAUUUAAAAAAACAAAGUAUUUCAUCACGGUUGGUUCUUCAAACUAUGGAGAAACGUAAUGAUAUUUCAACUUGGUAAAAAUUAACAACCGUCGUGAAAAGUUGGAUAUUUCAAUCGUUAUGAAAAGUGGCGCGUUAUCCAAAUUUUUACUUCAGCCACUAGCAUAUGAUGGAAAGUAAUGCACUUUAUAUCACAUUCUUUAUUACCGUGGACCAUCAACCAUGGUUUUGCAAUUUGAAUGAGAGACUAAUAGGGCCAAACUCCUACAAACUACAAUUUUAAAGCGAAGAUUGAAAUAUACAUCUCUUGCAAUAAUCAGAAGCAUCUAAAUUCUAGAAACUGUAAUACAUAUGAAAUUGUAAUACAUAUGUUUAUGUUAAAAUAUUUUUAUUUUUUGUAUUGACUUUUAAUUUUUUUGGUUUAAUUUCCUUCUUUCUUCACAA